CUGGAAAUGAUGCAGACUUGUUUACUUGAUGCUCACUGAUGGUUCUUGUAUUCAUACUGUCUGAUCCCA